GACGAACGCUGGCGGCAUGCCUAACACAUGCAAGUCGAACGAGACCUUCGGGUCUAGUGGCGCACGGGUGCGUAACGCGUGGGAACCUGCCCUUAGGUUCGGAAUCACUCCCCGAAAGGGGUGCUAAUACCGGAUAAUGUCUUCGGACCAAAGAUUUAUCGCCUUUGGAUGGGCCCGCGUUGGAUUCGCUAGUUGGUAGGGUAAAAGCCUACCAAGGCGACGAUCCAGAGCUGGUCUGAGAGGAGGAUCAGCCACACUGGGACUGAGACACGGCCCAGACUCCUACGGGAGGCAGCAGUGGGGAAUAUUGGACAAUGGGCGAAAGCCUGAUCCAGCAAUGCCGCGUGAGUGAUGAAGGCCUUAGGGUUGUAAAGCUCUUUUACCCGGGAUGAUAAUGACAGUACCGGGAGAAUAAGCUCCGGCUAACUCCGUG
rnacentral:rRNA from 1 species